CACCAUGAGCUUCCAACAGCAUUGCUGACCAAACUUUGAGGUGAGGACCCCUCCUCCAGAAUCCAUUGGCUGCUUCUUUUGUCUUUUCAGGUUCAGAGAAUGAGAUGGAGAGGGAAAGAGAGAAAGGGU